UUUGCGGGCGCGGCGUCGGUCUAAGUCUCUUGGAACGGGGCGUCAUAGAGGGUGAGAAUCCCGUAUGUGACCGAUGACCAAGCCCAUGUGAAACUCCUUCGACGAGUCGAGUUGUUUGGGAAUGCAGCUCAAAAUGGGUGGUAAAUUUCAUCUAAAGCUAAAUACUGGCCAGAGACCGAUAGCGCACAAGUAGAGUGAUCGAAAGAUGAAAAGCACUUUGGAAAGAGAGUCAAAAAGUACGUGAAAUUGUUGAAAGGGAAGCGCUUGCAACCAGACCUGCCCGCGGGUGAUCAGCCGUCCUUCUGGGCGGUGUACGCACUCGUGAUCAGGCCAGCAUCGGUUCGGGCGGCCGGAUAAAGUCCCUGGGAAUGUAGCUCCCUUCGGGGAGUGUUAUAGCCCAGGGUGUCAUGCGGCCAGCCUGGACCGAGGACCGCGCUUCGGCUAGGAUGCUGGCGUAAUGGUUGUAAGCGGCCCGUCUUGAAACACGGACCAAGGAGUCUAACAUCUAUGCGAGUGUUUGGGUGUCAAACCCAUACGCGUAAUGAAAGUGAACGGAGGUGGGAACCCACAAGGGCGCACCAUCGACCGAUCCAGAUGUUUUCGGAUGGAUUUGAGUACGAGCAUAGCUGUUGGGACCCGAAAGAUGGUGAACUAUGCCUGAAUAGGGUGAAGCCAGAGGAAACUCUGGUGG
rnacentral:rRNA from 1 species